AUUGAACGCUGGCGGCAGGCCUAACACAUGCAAGUCGAACGGCAGCACAGAAGAGCUUGCUCUUUGGGUGGCGAGUGGCGGACGGGUGAGUAGUGUCUGGGAAACUGCCCGAUGGAGGGGGAUAACUACUGGAAACGGUAGCUAAUACCGCAUAACGUCGCGAGACCAAAGUGGGGGACCUUCGGGCCUCACACCAUCGGAUGUGCCCAGAUGGGAUUAGCUAGUAGGUGGGGUAAUGGCUCACCUAGGCGACGAUCCCUAGCUGGUCUGAGGGGAUGACCGGCCACACUGGAACUGAGACACGGUCCAGACUCCUACGGGAGGCAGCAGUGGGGAAUUUUGCACAAUGGGCGCAAGCCUGAUGCAGCCAUGCCGCGUGUAUGAAGAAGGCCUUCGGGUUGUAAAGUACUUUCAGCGGGGAGGAAGGCGGUGGAGUUAAUAACUUCACCGAUUGACGUUACCCGCAGAAGAAGCACCGGCUAACUCCGUGCCAGCAGCCGCAGUAA
rnacentral:rRNA from 1 species